UAGAUGAAUAAGACCCUUGAAUUUUCAUAUAAAUAUAUGUUAAGGCCGAUUUAGAAAGAUAAGUCUAUUAUUUAGUUUGUUCUUAGUAACUUUUCUACAUUAAUGUCUGAAUCUUGUGAAACAAUAAGAAACGUGUAUCUUAUAUGUUUAGGUUUUUCGUUAAUUCAGAAUAGGACCUACGUACGUAAGAAUCUUUAUAUGUUGAGACCCAGGUGAUCGAUAUUACUUCAGAUAUAAUUUGGAUAAUACCACACAUUGAAAAUACUAUCGAACAACCGAUCGAUUAUGGUUAACACACCAUUCAUUACAUUCUGUAAUUACAUGAUUUUAAUACAGAGUCAUUAAAAGCAGUGAUAUAUCGAAGAACAUCAGUCGGUAAUAUAGAUCUCUAGAGGAGAAAUGAUAAAGACGAUUUGAAAGAAUGAGAUCGAGGUAUCCCUUAAUUUGGUAUAUCUCACUGAAUUAUAUUUGACGACCAUGGUAGACGACCAGUAAGAAGGAUACGGCGUGAUAACUCGAGUAUCAAAAGGAACACUGGUAUCCGACAAUAUACAUAUAUACACAUAUACAUACAUACAUACAUACAUAUAUAUAUACACAUACACGUAUACGUAUAUUUGCUGACUAUAGAAAAUUCAAGGGGAGUACAGUAAAAGAUGGACGGAUCAUUGGAUAGAUCUCUUUUUAAAACGUUCUUUCGAGUACCCUAAUUUUCUUUGGAAAUUGUAUCUCUACGCUUAGCUGUUUCUUCUUUCUCAAGGAUAUGGAAAAUGUGGAAAAUCUACAAAGAUAAGAAUUCAUUGGAAUGAUCAAUAGGAACAAUGGAAGCGAUCCUUUCUAUGCAAAUGAAUUGUAUAUCGAUAGAUCGACAGAUGUUACGAUAAUGUGGCAACGACGUUCGUUAUUUUGAUGACCUCGCUGUCUCGAAUCAAUUGCUUUGAAAAUAGUACUAACUGAAAGGAAGAUCUCAUCUCAUACAUACAUCGUACACACAUACAUACACGCGCGCGUGCGUAAGACGAAGGCAAGCAUUUUUGGUGGAAAAGUAUAUUCGUGUGGGUCUUUCGAGCGUGGGUGGUCGUUGAAAUUAUUUGCAUGCGGAGAUAUGUGGUAAAGAAGAGGGUCUGUUGGAACUAGAAUUUAUUAGUUUGGUAAAGGUCAUUCCGUUUUCUUUUUUUGUUUUUCCUUUUUUCUUUCUUUUUUUUUUCUUUUUUCUCCAUUCAUCCUAACCACGAUAUCAGACAAUAUUAAUUUUUAAAUUCUUUAUUGUCACAUCAAUCGCGAUUGUAUUACCUUGCUUCGUAGUAAUUAAUAAUUAAAAAUAGUUAGAAGGAAUAAAACAAAAGAGCGUCGUAAUUAAUUCUCUCUCAUGUAGAAAAAUUCCUUUUCAAUAGCCAUGUAUAGCGAGAAAUGCAAUUGUAUUAGCUGUGUGUAUAUAUAUAUGUAUAUAUAUAUAUCUCUGCUUUGCUUUUUCCUUUUUCCCCAUCGGUGAUAUGUAUUGACAGUUCCAUUCCAUUCUAAUUUAUCGAGAUCGCCGUUAUACAUUGAUCGUGUUACGAACGAGAAUCAGAUUUUUCAAUCUUCUGUCAUAUUCUCAUUUUAUCAUCUCUUUCUCUCUUUUUUUCUAAUUUUUUCUUUUUUCAGUUACUUCGCCAUUUAGCUUUUCCAAUCGUUCUCGCACGAAUAAAAUAGGAAAAAGGAAUUCUAUUCAAUCAUAUUUACGAAGAGAAAAAUCUUUUUCUCUCUUUUUCUCCAUCACCCAGUCUCUCUCUCUUUUUCAUAGUUACGUCAUUUGGGCAAAAACGCAAUCAUAGAAUAUAAAGAAUUUCGAUCUUUUCUUUCCUUAUUUCUUUUUUUCUUUUACGUCUCCAAGAGAAAUUGUUCGAUUUCUUUGAAUAACGUAGCGAUAAAUUAAAAGAUAUUUUCUAUUAUUGUCUUCUCGUUUUUCAUCGAAUCACGUUCAAUCGCGCAAUUAAAUGUCAAUGGGGGAUCACUCGUAUGGAAUACAACGCAAUCAAGCGAUUUCGGUUUAAUCUAUUUCUUGUCUUUUUCGUAUUAGAUCGGACCGAAAAUCAAUUGGAAUCCAAACGAAAUCGUAUUAAAUCUAUUUAAAGUCUAAUUAAAGUUAAAUUAAACUCGACAUUUCUAAUGAAUCAAGAUCGAUUUUUCCGUUGACUUAAAAUGUGUUCUUAGAGCAAGGGGAAGGAUCUUCGAAAUGUUAUUUACAUCACUGAUGAGAGGGAGUAUCAGUUUUCCGCUAGAUUUGAGGGAAGAUUUUUGGGGGAAAAUUCGUUGAUGGUAUGACGAAAGAAAAGGGAGGAGAAAGAAGAAAGGGCGGGUCGGGGAAGGGGACGGAAAGACAGAGAUAGAUUGAUAGGGAGAAAGAGGAGAAAUAGGAGGGGUGAAUAAGAGUCGGUAGUCUGAGAAAGGGCUGAAUGAAAUAAAAGGAAUAGAGAGAUGGCAGAGUUGAAGGAAGGGAGAGAACUAGAAGGGUGAUAGUAAAAGAGGAAAACUUGAAUUUGUAGUGGUUGUUCAGCGCGUGGGGGUAGGGACAGAAAGGGAGAGAGAGAGAGAGAGAGAGAGAGAGAGAGAAAGAGUAAAAGGAUUCCGCAAGUGUGGAGGCGGUCGUAUCCCAAAGGGUGAGGUAGUGGAGGGUGGCAUGAUGGUACCGGAGGUGGUGGAAGCGCGUAUGCUCGCUUCAGCACUGCCACCUCUCAUCGUCAGUUGCUACUUGGUUUCCGGACUCUGCGGACAGGCAGAUUUGUUCGGUUGACGCUGCAUAUCUUACAACAUAUCUACAAUCAAGACAAAUAGAGUAAUCAUUAAUCAGAGACGGAGGUCAGAAGCGAAGAGGACUUAAGUUAUUAGAUCG